GACACUGUCAUUGGGGAGUAGCCGCCGUCGUUCGCGACGGGCACGCGUCAACACACUUGGACCCGCAGGUUCAUGGCGCAGGCACUGACGAUUUCGUCAGC
rnacentral:sRNA from 2 species